rnacentral:rRNA from 1 species
UACGAAGGGUGCAAGCGUUACUCGGAAUUACUGGGCGUAAAGCGUGCGUAGGCGGUUUGUUAGUCUGUUGUGAAAGCCCCGGGCUCAACCUGGGAAUGGCAAUGGAAACUGGCGAGCUAGAGUACGGUAGAGGAGAGUGGAAUUCCCGGUGUAGCAGUGAAAUGCGUAGAGAUCGGGAGGAACAUCAGUUGCGAAGGCGGCUCUCUGGACCAGUACUGACGCUGAGGCACGAAAGCGUGGGUAGCAAACAGG